GACGAACGCUGGCGGCGUGCCUAACACAUGCAAGUCGAGCGAUGAAGUUUCCUUCGGGAAACGGAUUAGCGGCGGACGGGUGAGUAACACGUGGGUAACCUGCCUCAUAGAGGGGAAUAGCCUCCCGAAAGGGAGAUUAAUACCGCAUAAUAUUACAGUUUCGCAUGAAACAGUAAUUAAAGGAGCAAUCCGCUAUGAGAUGGACCCGCGGCGCAUUAGCUAGUUGGUGAGGUAACGGCUCACCAAGGCGACGAUGCGUAGCCGACCUGAGAGGGUGAUCGGCCACAGUGGGACUGAGACACGGCCCAGACUCCUACGGGAGGCAGCAGUGGGGAAUAUUGCACAAUGGGGGAAACCCUGAUGCAGCAACGCCGCGUGAGUGAUGACGGUCUUCGGAUUGUAAAGCUCUGUCUUUGGGGACGAUAAUGACGGUACCCAAGGAGGAAGCCACGGCUAACUACGUGCCAGCCGCCGCAGUAAUAC
rnacentral:rRNA from 1 species